ensembl:rRNA 5S_rRNA 5S ribosomal RNA
GUCUAUGGCCAUACCACCCUGAACGCGACGAUCUCGUCUGAUCCCGGAAGCUAAGCAGGGUCGGGCCUGGUUAGUACUCGAAUGGGAGAAAUCACAGGGGACUUAGCUG